ACAUUUCUGCUUGUCAGACAUGAGACCGCAACGUCAUGUUAGGUUUACCAAUAUCACGAGGCUGUAGAACGAACAUGACAUGAACUCCUGACAGUUUUGCAAGCGUGUUGCUGCAGGUAUGUGCAAUAUUUGCACUUACACAAAAAGGCCAGAAGAUGCUGAAGGCCAGGCCAGACUGGGCCUCGGGCAGCAACGUCAUCCUGCCGAGGAUUGCCAGGUGUCUCCCUCCCAGCCUAAUGGCGCCGGUCUCAUGUCCUCCACCCUUCAGAAUGUCCAGCUCAGGAUACCUUUAAUCUUAUGUUGGUAUUAUGAUUUGUAACUGAACAAUAUGUUUCUGUAUGUGCUCG